rnacentral:rRNA from 1 species
AACGAACGCUGGCGGCAUGCCUAAUACAUGCAAGUCGAACGAGAUCUUCGGAUCUAGUGGCGCACGGGUGCGUAACGCGUGGGAAUCCGCCCUUGGGUUCGGAAUAACUUCUGGAAACGGAAGCUAAUACCGGAUGAUGACGUAAGUCCAAAGAUUUAUCGCCCAAGGAUGAGCCCGCGUAGGAUUAGCUAGUUGGUGGGGUAAAGGCUCACCAAGGCGACGAUCCUUAGCUGGUCUGAGAGGAUGAUCAGCCACACUGGGACUGAGACACGGCCCAGACUCCUACGGGAGGCAGCAGUAGGGAAUAUUGGACAAUGGGCGAAAGCCUGAUCCAGCAAUGCCGCGUGAGUGAUGAAGGCCUUAGGGUUGUAAAGCUCUUUUACCCGGGAUGAUAAUGACAGUACCGGGAGAAUAAGCUCCGGCUAACUCCGUGCCAGCCGCCGCAGUAA